UACGUAGGGUGCGAGCGUUAAUCGGAAUUACUGGGCGUAAAGCGUGCGCAGGCGGUUUCACAAGCUCGAUGUGAAAGCCCCGGGCUUAACCUGGGAACUGCGUUUGAUACGGAUGGGCUAGAGUUCGGGAGAGGAGAGUGGAAUUCCCAGUGUAGAGGUGAAAUUCGUAGAUAUUGGGAAGAACACCGGUGGCGAAGGCGGCUCUCUGGACCGAGACUGACGCUGAGGCGCGAAAGCGUGGGGAGCAAACAGG
rnacentral:rRNA from 1 species